AGUUCUUGGAAGACCAAAUGUAGAAAAGAAUCUGGUCAUGGCAUUAAUGAUUGAACUAGCAGUGAUUUUACGGAGAGGAAUGGCUUCAGGGUAGCGAGUGGAAGCGCACAUUAAGGAAUUGGAUGGAGCGGAGCAUUUGGUAUGGUCUGGUUAGGCUUUCCAGCCAUCUGACAUAUGUGGCAACUGCGGCAGAAUUUAACCACAUCUGUUUUUAAUCCAGGCCAGUAAAAGUGUUUCAAAAUCA